AGGGGGUGCCUUUCAGGCAUCCUCUCCCAAAACUUCCAGGGCCGGUCGCAAGACCGGCCUUUUUUUCGUCGUGA
rnacentral:sRNA from 2 species